rnacentral:rRNA from 1 species
GGUGAACGCUGGCGGUAGGCCUAACACAUGCAAGUCGAACGGCAGCACAGUAAGAGCUUGCCCUUACGGGUGGCGAGUGGCGGACGGGUGAGGAAUACAUCGGAAUCUACUUUUUCGUGGGGGAUAACGUAGGGAAACUUACGCUACUACCGCAUACGACCUAAGUGUGAAAGCAGGGGAUCUUCGGACCUUGCGCGACUGAAUGAGCCGAUGUCGGAUUAGCUAGUUGGCGGGGUAAAGGCCCACCAAGGCGACGAUCCGUAGCUGGUCUGAGAGGAUGAUCAGCCACACUGGAACUGAGACACGGUCCAGACUCCUACGGGAGGCAGCAGUGGGGAAUAUUGGACAAUGGGCGCAAGCCUGAUCCAGCCAUACCGCGUGGGUGAAGAAGGCCUUCGGGUUGUAAAGCCCUUUUGUUGGGAAAGAAAAGCAGCAGGUUAAUACCCCGCUGUUCUGACGGUACCCAAAGAAUAAGCACCGGCUAACUUCGUG